rnacentral:rRNA from 1 species
GACGAACGCUGGCGGCGUGCUUAACACAUGCAAGUCGAACGGAAAGGCCCUGCUUUUGUGGGGUGCUCGAGUGGCGAACGGGUGAGUAACACGUGAGUAACCUGUCCUUGACUUUGGGAUAACUUCAGGAAACUGGGGCUAAUACAGGAUAGGAGCUACUGCUGCAUGGUGGGGGUUGGAAAGUUUCGGCGGUUGGGGAUGGACUCGCGGCUUAUCAGCUUGUUGGUGGGGUAGUGGCUUACCAAGGCUUUGACGGGUAGCCGGCCUGAGAGGGUGACCGGCCACAUUGGGACUGAGAUACGGCCCAGACUCCUACGGGAGGCAGCAGUGGAGAAUAUUGCACAAUGGGCGGAAGCCUGAUGCAGCAACGCCGCGUGCGGGAUGACGGCCUUCGGGUUGUAAACCGCUUUCGCCUGUGACGAAGCGUGAGUGACGGUAAUGGGUAAAGAAGCACCGGCUAACUACGUG